rnacentral:rRNA from 1 species
GAUGAACGCUGGCGGCGUGCCUAAUACAUGCGAGUCGAGCGAACCAUUUCGGUGGUGAGCGGCGAACGGGUGAGUAACACGUAGGUAAUCUACCCAUUAGACGGGGACAACGACUGGAAACGGUCGCUAAUACCGGAUAGGACGAAAGUUUAAAGAUGCUUCGGCAUCACUAAUGGAUGAGCCUGCGGCGCAUUAGCUAGUUGGAGAGGUAAGAGCUCCCCAAGGCGACGAUGCGUAGCCGACCUGAGAGGGUGAACGGCCACACUGGGACUGGAAAACGGCCCAAACUCCUACGGGAGGCAGCAGUAGGGAAUCUUCGGCAAUGGACGAAAGUAUGACCGAGCAACGCCGCGUGAGUGAAGAAGGUUUUCGGAUCGUAAAACUCUGUUGUUAGAGAAGAACAAGGAUGAGAGUAAAAUGUUCAUCCCUUGACGGUAUCUAACCAGAAAGCCACGGCUAACUACGUGCCAGCGGCCGCCGUAA